rnacentral:rRNA from 1 species
UGCGAAGGGGACUAGCGUUGUUCGGAAUUACUGGGCGUAAAGCGCACGUAGGCGGAUUUGUUAGUCAGGGGUGAAAUCCCGGGGCUCAACCUCGGAACUGCCUUUGAUACUGCAAAUCUCGAGUCCGAUAGAGGUGGGUGGAAUUCCUAGUGUAGAGGUGAAAUUCGUAGAUAUUAGGAAGAACACCGGUGGCGAAGGCGGCCCACUGGAUCGGUACUGACGCUGAGGUGCGAAAGCGUGGGGAGCAAACAGG